rnacentral:rRNA from 1 species
UACAGAGGGUGCAAGCGUUAAUCGGAUUUACUGGGCGUAAAGGGCGUGUAGGCGGAUUUGUAAGUCAGACGUGAAAUUCCUGGGCUUAACCUGGGGCUGUCGUCUGAGACUGUGAAUCUAGAGUGAAGUAGAGGGUAGUAGAAUUUCCGGUGUAGCGGUGAAAUGCGUAGAUAUCGGAAAGAAUACCGGUGGCGAAGGCGGCUACCUGGACUUUAUCUGACGCUGAGGCGCGAAAGCGUGGGGAGCGAAC